UUAAGCAUGCAAGUCGAACGAUAACUCGAAGCUUGCUUCGAGUGACAGUGGCAAACGGGUGAGUAAUACGUGGGUAACCUGCCUUCGGAUGGGGGAUAGCUCUAGGAAACUAGUGGUAAUACCGCAUAAUACCGAUUGGUCAUAAGACCGCUCGGUCAAAGGCGCUUUCGGGCGUCAUCUGAAGAUGGGCCCGCGCACUAUUAGCUAGUUGGUGGGGUAAUGGCCUACCAAGGCAACGAUGGUUAGCCGGCCUGAGAGGGUGUACGGCCACAUUGGGACUGAGAUACGGCCCAGACUCCUACGGGAGGCAGCAGCUAAGAAUAUUCCGCAAUGGGCGCAAGCCUGACGGAGCGACGCCGCGUGGAGGAUGAAGGCUUUCGGGUUGUAAACUCCUUUUCUUAGGGAAGAAUAAAGUUGGCAGGAAAUGGUCGACCGAUGACGGUACCUAAGGAAUAAGCCCCGGCUAAUUACGUGCCAGCAGCCGCGGUAAUACGUAUGGGGCAAGCGUUGUUCGGAUUUACUGGGCGUAAAGGGCGUGUAGGCGGUGUGAUAAGUCGGAUGUGAAAUCUCCAGGCUCAACCUGGAAACUGCAUUCGAAACUGCCAUGCUUGAGUACCGGAGAGGGAAACGGAAUUCCUGGUGUAGGGGUGAAAUCUGUAGAUAUCGGGAAGAACACCGGUGGCGAAGGCGGUU
rnacentral:rRNA from 1 species